GUACCCUUAGCUCAGCUGGAUAGAGUGUCUGACUACGAAUCAGAAGGUCGGGGGUUCGAAUCCCUCAGGGUACGCCA
rnacentral:tRNA from 1 species